UACGUAGGGGGCGAGCGUUGUCCGGAUUUAUUGGGCGUAAAGAGCUCGUAGGCGGUUUGGUAAGUUGGAUGUGAAAUCUCCAGGCUCAACUUGGAGGGGUCAUUCGAUACUGCCAUGACUAGAGUCCGGAAGAGGAGAGUGGAAUUCCUGGUGUAGCGGUGAAAUGCGCAGAUAUCAGGAAGAACACCCGUGGCGAAGGCGGCUCUCUGGUACGUGACUGACGCUGAGACGCGAAAGCGUGGGGAGCGAACAGG
rnacentral:rRNA from 1 species